AGGGACCGGCCGCGGCGCGCUCGGUGGAGCGGGCCGCGGCCACUUGGGCGGUGCGCUCGCUUGUGUGGACUGGGAGGUCAGGCACGUCCUACCGCAGCAACGUCCGCCGCGCCGCCGUUCCCUCGUCGCUUCGUUAGCCAUUUUCUUGCAACGUCUUGAGUCGAGCAACAACGAUGUGCGGGCACUGAAUGACAGUGCGCGCGUUACUCAACACAAACCGAGGGGGCGCGUGCGCGCGCUGAACCUCUCAAGGAAAUACUUUAUCAGUUCUGCUGAAUAAUCGAAAAAUUGUCGUCGGUGUGCACCAACGAACUAGGUUCCCCGAGUUCCAUUCAAAAGACCUCAAAGCAGUUCUAGCGCUGUUAGUCCAAAGAAUAGGAAGGGCUGGCCUUUGACACAUGGCUCAUUGGCUGUCUCAAGAGAAAACAUCAUCGCCUUGCCCAUGGCAGCUUAGGUUAUUCUAGGGCUGCCCUUCCUCACUUGAAAAACAGGAAAACUUCUUUCUUGUUGGCCUCAGGUUUGCUAUCCUCCCCGGUAGACCUGAUGGCUCAACAUGAAAUUGUUCAAUGAAUGAGAAAACUAGCUUAUAAGUACUUGUUGCCGUUAUCAUAUGCUGUGUUCACUAUUUUGCCCCCCAAAAUUUGGGAUUCCAAGAACAGUGAGCAUCUUCUCAUGGAGGAUCGGCCUGUACAAAUUACCUUGGGAUUACUACUUUACACCAAAUAUGAAAAAAAAGAAUCCAUGUGGAUUGGAGACAUGAAUAUGAGGCAAAACAAUAAUACCACUAGUGUUCAGUGUGGUCUCACUCUGUCACCCAGGCUGUAGUGAAGUGGUGCCAUCGCAGCUCACUGCAACCUUCGCCUCCUGAGCUCAAGCCAUUCUCCCUCCUCAAGUGAUCCUCCCAUCUCAGCCUCCCCAGUAGCUGAGACUACAGAACUAUAAGAAGUUUGAGAAGUCCACCGAGGUCCAGGAAGUGUCAGGGGACAGGAUGGGAACUAGGGCUGGUAUGAAGUGAUACUGAAGAAUCUGGAUUUUGAAGGGCUUUAUUUGUCAUGCUAAGGAUUUUUAACUUGAAGGUGAUGGAGGGUCAUUGAAAGAUUUAAGCAAUUUAAUGUCUAAUCAGUUUCUGCCAUACUCUAACUGUGGCUUAAGGUUGAGUUUGGGGUGGUGUGGUGACAGUGGUGGAAGCCGAAGCAUAGAAAUCAGAAAAUUGUUAUGUGUAAUUCAGGUGAGAGCUGCUUCUCACCUGAAUCUACCAUUAUUCCUCUAAAUACAACUGCGUAACACCUGUCCCUUCAACCUCACUCCUCUUCUGCUCUGGGCUUUGAUUUGUUGCCCUUCUGCCAUUAUGUUAGUGAUUAUUCUGAUUUUUAACAUCUCUUCUAGUCACUCUCCACCCAGCAUUUUCCAAAGCUCAUAUCUUUAUAGAUGGCCCUACCUCAUGUUUCAUAAGGAAGUCAAGGUCAUUCAGUGAACAAGCCCUCAAUUUGCCCCCUGAAGCUAACAUACCUAAACUGCAGUCUUCUUACUUCUCACCUGUUUCAGUGGAAAGGCCAUCCCUUCUCCUAUCCAAGGCUAAAUUUCCAUCUGAGCUUUAAAUCUCAUUUCCUCUGGCUCCAUAGGUAUUUUUCUCCAUUGAGCAUCCCUUUAUUUUCUUUAUCUUUCCGCUCCUUUUUUCUACUGACUCUUUUCCUUCAGCAUCCCAACAGGGUUCAAGCCCUCACCCUUUUAUUUCAUCUGGGGUUUCUCAACUGCAUUAUUAACAUUUUCGGCCAAAGAGUUCUUUGUUGUGGAGAGGCCAGCAUCCCUAGCCUCUAUCCUAGUGGAUAGAUGCCAGUAGCCACGCCCCUCCUCCCUGAGUUGUAACAAACAACAGUGUCUCCGGAUGUUGCUAAAUCAUCCCAGCUUCAGAACCACUGAUUUAACCCAAUAUAUUCAAAAUAUUAUUUCAACGUAUAAUAAAUAUU